GACGAACGCUGGCGGCGUGCUUAACACAUGCAAGUCGAACGGAAAGGCCCUGCUUUUGUUGGGUUCUCGAUUGGCGAACGGGGGAGUAACACGUGUGGAUCCUGCCCUUGACUUUGGGAUAACUCCAGGAAACUGGGGCUAAUACCGGGUAGAAUCUCCUGCUGCAUGUUGUGGGUUGGAAAGUGUCGGCGGUUGGGGAUGGAAUCGCGGCUUAUCAGCUUGUUGGUGGGGUAGUGGCUUACCAAGGGUUUGACGGGUAGCCGGCCUGAGAGGGUGACCGGCCACAUUGGGACUGAGAUACGGACCAGACGCCUACGGGAGGCAGCAGUGGGGAAUAUUGCACAAUGGGGGGAAGUCUGAUGCAGCAACGCCGCGUGCGGGAUGACGGCCUUCGGGUUGUAAACAGAUUUCGCCUGUGACGAAGCGUGAGUGACGGUAAUGGGUAAAGAAGCCCCGGCUAACUACGUG
rnacentral:rRNA from 1 species